GUGCCAGCCGCGCGGUAAUACGGAGGUCCCAAGGGUGCCCUGAGUGACUGGGCGUAAAGGGUCCGUAGGCGGUCUGGUAAGUCUCCCGUGAAAGCUGCCCGCUCAACGGGCAGAGGUCGGGAGAUACUGCUGGACUCGGGACCAGCAGGGGGGACCGGAAUUCCCGGUGUAGCGGUGAAAUGCGUAGAUAUCGGGAGGAACGCCGAUGCCGAAGGGGGGUCCCUAGGCUGGCUCCGACGCUGAGGGACGAAAGCUGGGGGAGCGAACCGGAUUAGAGACCCGGGUAGUCCCAGCCGUCAACGAUGGGUGCUAGGGAGCGGGGUAAAUCCUCGCGCCCGAAGCUAACGCGUUAAGCACCCCGCCUGGGGAGUACGGCCGCAAGGCCGAAACUCAAACGAAUCGACGGGGACCCGAACAAGCCGCGGUGCAUUUGGUUUAAUUCGAUGCAGCGCGAAGAACCUUACCCGGGCUUGACAUGCUAGCGUAAGCCUGCCCGAAAGGGUAAGGUGGGCUGGGCGAUGAGUCCAGCCAGCUAGCACAGGUGCUACAUGGCUGUCGUCAGCUCGUGCCGUGAGGCGUCGGGUUAAGUCCCAGAACGAGUGCAACCCCUGCCCGCUGUUGCCAUUCCCCGAAAGGGGAGGCACUCUGCGGGGACUGCCGGCGAAGAGUCGGAGGAAGGAGGGGACGACGUCAAGCCCGCAUGGCCCUUAUGCCCGGGGCUACACAAGUGCAACAAUGGCCGGGACAAAGGGACGCGAGGCCAUGAGGCUGAGCAAAUCCCAAAAACCCGGUCUCAGUUCGGAUCGGGGUCUGCAACCCGACCCCGUGAAGCCGGAGUGGCUAGUAAUCGCGGAUCAGCAACGCCGCGGUGAAUACGUUCCCGGGUCCUGUACACACCGCCCGUCACGCCAUGGAAGUCACCUGCACAGGAAAUCCCUAAAAGGGACGAAUGUGUGGGUGGCGACUGGGGCGAAGUCGUAACAAGGUAACC
rnacentral:rRNA from 1 species